GAUGAACGCUGGCGGCGUGCCUAAUACAUGCAAGUCGAGCGAACAGACGAGGAGCUUGCUCCUCUGACGUUAGCGGCGGACGGGUGAGUAACACGUGGAUAACCUACCUCUAAGACUGGGAUAACUUCGGGAAACCGGAGCUAAUACCGGAUAAUAUAUUGAACCGCAUGGUUCAAUAGUGAAAGACGGUUUUGCUGUCACUUAUAGAUGGAUCCGCGCCGCAUUAGCUAGUUGGUAAGGUAACGGCUUACCAAGGCGACGAUGCGUAGCCGACCUGAGAGGGUGAUCGGCCACACUGGAACUGAGACACGGUCCAGACUCCUACGGGAGGCAGCAGUAGGGAAUCUUCCGCAAUGGGCGAAAGCCUGACGGAGCAACGCCGCGUGAGUGAUGAAGGUCUUCGGAUCGUAAAACUCUGUUAUUAGGGAAGAACAAAUGUGUAAGUAACUAUGCACGUCUUGACGGUACCAAAUCAGAAAGCCACGGCUAACUACGUG
rnacentral:rRNA from 1 species